GACGAACGCUGGCGGCGUGCUUAACACAUGCAAGUCGAACGGAAAGGCCUGCUUUCCCUUGUGGAUUGCGGGUACUCGAGUGGCGAACGGGUGAGUAACACGUGAGUGAUCUGCCCCCAACUUGGGUAUAAGCCUGGGAAACUGGGUCUAAUUCCCGAUAGGACUGCAGGGUGGUGCCUGUGGUGGAAAACGAUUUUCUAGUGGUUGGGGAUGAGCUCGCGGCCUAUCAGCUUGUUGGUGGGGUAAUGGCCUACCAAGGCGGCGACGGGUAGCCGGCCUGGGAGGGUGGACGGCCACAUUGGGACGGAGAUACGGCCCAGAAGCCUACGGGAGGCAGCAGUGGGGAAUAUUGCACGAUGGGCGGAAGCCUGAUGCAGGGACGCCGCGUGGGGGAUGACGGCCUUCGGGUUGUAAACUCCUUUCGACCGCGAGGAAGCCACCUGGUUGGAAGGGUGGUGACGGUAGUGGUAGAAGAAGCACCGGCUAACUACGUG
rnacentral:rRNA from 1 species